AGAAUGACUUUAGGCCAGUAUUUUUGGAAGUUUGCUCUUAAAAAAAACACUUUUUUUUCCAGUGCUUCAGAUAAUUUAAUGUGGAGCUUAUAGACUGCUUGAAGCACUCAUGUGGCUCAACUGUAAAUGAGUUUUGAUUUUCUUUAGGUGUUUGGCUUUUGUAUGUUUUAAAUAAUUUGCUUCUGAAACACGGUAUUUAAAAUACACAAUUAAGUUCUUUUCUUUUUCCUAAUCUAAAUCACUUCUUUAAGAGAGUUUGAGAGAAAGGUACUGGUUCUAAAGGUUUGGAAUAUCUAAAAAGAUGAGCUUUAAAAUAAUUUUCAACAUGCAUACUAUUUACUGACUGAUUCAUCAACCCCCAAAUGCAUUCUUUCUUGUGGACACAUGAUGUAGGCACUUCAUCUUCUUUUAAGAUUUAUUCCAUUUAACACUAGAUGGCUUUUAUCUAAGUAUCUGUUUUUUAUUAUAAACUCCUUUGUAAAUUACUUGCAUAGCACCUAGCUGCAGAUUGCUCAUCUGUCCUUUGAUGACCUAAAAAUAACAAUAAGGUGUAUGAAAAGGCUGGAUGGCCUUUUAAAUCACUGCUAUUUAAAGUGUGGUCUGUGGACAGUUAGCUUCAGCAUCACCUGGGAGCUUAUUAGAAAUGUAAAUUUAUGGGCCCCACUGAGAACUACAGAAUCAGCCUCUUUGGGAGAGAGGCCCAGCCAUCUGUGUUUGAGAGUCAUUCACCAGGUGCUCUGAGAAGCACUGUGUAAAUAAGGGUUGGCACUUACUAAGUGCUUACUAUGCUUGGAGCUGUGCUAAGGACUUGCUGUAUGUUGCCUUAUUUAAUACUUGUAACAACCCUAUGAAACAGACAGUAUUGCAUCUAUUUCUAGAUGAGAGGAUCUCUUUUCCAAAGCCUAAAGCCUAACAUAAAAAUUGGUGAAAUCAAGACAAACCCCGCUCUGUCUAACUCCAAAGAAGUGCACCAUGUUUUGAAUAAAGGAAGGGGUUUCUUCUGGUCACAGACCUUACCAGAAUGUAAAACAUUCACUGCAAAAGUGUCAUUUUCACUGCAAGCCACAUAGGCAUUUAUAUAGCAUGACACUUUACAAAUGUCAGUAAUAGUCUGUCAUUCAACAUUUAGGCAGUGACAAAAAUGAUUCAAAUAUAAACACUACAUUAAAACAUAAUUAUAGAACGCUAUAGGUUUUGCAGGCUAGAAAGUGUACAUUCUCUCCACUUAAGACCUUAAUUAGAAGCAGAGAGAGUCAUCUGUAAUCAAAUUUAGAAAGGGAGACAAAGUUUCAGCUUUCAGGCAGAGGCCAAGUUUUGGCACAGAGAGUCAGUGCAGCAAAGCUGUAGCUAAAACUCAACGAAUCGGGAAGACGGGAGAUUUGCGGCGGUGGGAGGACGGGAGGACAGCGUUUCCUAAUUCUAAUUUACACAGGUGAAGGAAGAAUCUGAGGAGACAGGCAUCUGAAACUUUUCACAGAGGCACAAUUUAAAUAUGUGGUAGUAUAAGAAGCUUACAUCUUAAGUUCUUAUCUAAAAGCAUUUAAAAUUGACCCAAGACCCCUGAGAUUCCCCCCACCAAUGCCAGACCAUCUCAUUCUCCCCUGAAGUAAAUUAUUUGAGCUAAUUUUUCAGUCUGGCUUUUUGUCAGGCAGGGUGUGGAGGCCAGAGAGGUGGGAGGGCAAGAGAAACAAAGGGAAUAGAAGGAACUUAGCGUUUGUCUAUUCCAGGAUGCGUUGUUUGCUCGGGGCCCCUACCUACAAGUGAUCGACCUGGCUGACGGGGGUGCUGGCAUGCUGGGCUAAUGGGGCACACUCAAGUUCCACUGGCUCUGCGUGCUGCUGAGUGCCUGCCAGGGCUCAGCACCUGCAGACGCCUGGAUAAACUGUUCUGCCUGGAACAGCUGUUCUCCACGGGAGUUCCUGCAAGUGCCCGGCAGCCAGCCGGCGCGGGGCGGCACUGAGGGGCUCCAGACGGCCCACACAGACAGAGCGCUGAGCAGCUUUGCAGAGAAUCCAUUCCCAAAGCAGAGCGUGGUGAGGGCAUAAACACUACUGCAGGAAUUCCCUGCUGAAAUGUCUAGGAGAGUAAGGACUUCGGAAGAGCUGACCGUGGCGCCCCCUUGCUUCCUUUGGAAAUGUGCGCUAAUGGAUAGUAUUUUCAGGCCCGAAGACCAGGACACAUAUUUUGUUUAUACUGAAAAGGAGAACUGUCCCAGGCAUGUAGCACUCAUGGGUUCAUAACUUUGCAGAGAGCCAAGCAGGUGUCUGCUGCUGAGGAAUGCAUGCAAGACUCCCGCCAGUGAUGCUGUGACCCACCAGAUGCCUGAGAUGGAACCCCUAGCUCCUCUGCGCGCAAGCUUCCUCCCUGAAGUCAUUUCAGGGGAAUCCAGUAAGAAACACUGAAAUAUGCAGGAAGAGCCCAGCAAGGCUGAGGAGAUUGAGAUUUUUCAAGUAAAAAGCAACUGUGGAUGGACUGUUUUUCUACAACCUAGGGAGCUUGAGGGGUAAGAACCACACACGUGUGAAGCCAGCCUUUGCACUUCAGUGUCUCACCUAGACACUCUUACAAGUUCAGUGCAGAAGAAUAAUGAUAAAGAAAAAACAACAACAACACAAAACAGAGAAAAAGGUCUUCCCUGAAUUCAGUAAAAACAGCUGGUGUGACAUCCAUUAAUCAACUAAACAAUUAGUUGUGCAUCUGAAGGCUCUGCUGCCUGGACAGAAGCAUCAGGCAGGUAACAGAGAUUACCCGGCAGGCAUUAGCUGAACCACUGUCUGCAGAGGGAGGAGGGCACGGGGAGGGCAUGCCUGGUGAUCUGAUGCCAAAGUGUCCCUCUGUUCUUUGCACCUGCAUAUACUUAUUCUGGCAAAAGUGCAUUUCUCAAAGUACUAAGCCCAGGUUUCCCCAUGCUCUAAUAAUGGAAGACAGUGUUUGAGGACUGUGAAAGCAACUGGCAGUUGCUCAGUGUCACUUUUGAUUCUACAGCCUUACACUGCUCCCUGGCUUCUCAAUUAUUCUGGCCUACUGUCUGUGUCCUAACAAAGAAUACUACUGCCACAGUCAUCUGGCAUGUGGACCGGUGGUUAAGUCUACACGAAAGGUUGGCUUUCAUUUGGACUAUACGGGCCAUUGAUAAGAAGUUUCUUGCUUCCAUUAAAUGUUCCUCUUGGAGGAAAAAAAUCAAGUUAAACUACCUUUUGUGCUUCUGGCCAUGAUUUGGAUUUUACAGCCACAAUGGGAAUGAGGUAGAUGAGACAACCAGACAUUUCCCAAUUCUGGUCCCACCUGUCGACAAGCACCUCCUGCCUCCGUGCUCACCCACUCAAAAAGCCAGUGGAGCAUAAGAAAACUCGUCCUAGAACCGUCUGGCUUUUCAGCAGAAUUCUGGCAAUACGAUGACCUGGUGGAGAAAUGUUUGGAGGGAGUGGGAGAAGGGAAGAGGCUAAGAAGAAGAAUGGAGUUUCUUCUUGCAAGAAGACAAGGGGCCAACCUUUAAACUGGGGUCAGCAAACUCCAGUCACUCCUCAAGAACACUGCCAGGCUGCUCACUCGCCGCAGACAUUACUUGAUUUGUCGGUCCGUGCUCUCCACACACACGUGCUGCUGGGGAACAGUGGUCCAUUUCUCCGCCUCCAUCACCAUGGCUUCUGCAUCCAUCAGGCCAAAUCCAUACAGAUGGCUCACUGUGGAAGGCAUGAUGGAGACAUGAAGAUGUCAAAAACUAUCAAACAUCCGGCGGACCACAUACAGAGUGCAAGCAGAGUAGGGAAGGCUGAGUGUCCUGUGCGGAGAACUCCCCCAUCCACAACGGUAAUAUAGGACUCCUAAAACUUACCCCCUUCUGACAACUAUCCUGGACCUAUACUUCAGGGUCCUCUGAAAACUGAAAUCUCUCUCAUGCUGAAGAACGGGAAGACUAAAAACCAAGAGCUUUGGAGCAAAUAAUAACCAAGAGGCCCAAAGUCGAAGCGACCUAGAGAAAAAGCACAGUUUGUCUCAACUCUAAGCCUAGUGACUAACCUCCUAACUCAUAAUAUACCAUGAGGAAUUAUGCCAAGUACCCAUCAGGUUUCUUCCUGGAAUUGACAAUUAUCCUUAGACAAUGAUAUAUACUAAAAGGGAAAUAUUAAUAAAAGCUUAUAAAAACGUGGCUAGCUACCUAUGAUCUUUCCAGGCAAUAUAACAUAUAUGACUUUCCGGGGAAGUCCUGUGUAUGAGCUCCUGUUUGGAAGUUCUGCAUUGUUUAAUGAUCUCAUAAUCAUAACCAACAUUUUAGUGAGCACUUGGCCAGCGCCAGGCACAUGUUGUACAUUCAUGAUUAUGGUAUAGUCUUCAAAAUCAUAUGAUAGAGAUAAUAGUUUUAUUCCCAUUUCACAGAAGAAAAGCUGAGGCUUUGAGUCACACAGUAACUCAAGUACAUACAGGUAGUUAGGGAUAGAGCUAUAAUUCAAACCAGCUAUACUUGGCUGCAAAUCGUAUGCUAUCAAUCACUAUUAACAGCAUCCUCAGAUGGACCCACAAAGAUGAAAUGGACAUACACACUUGUUUGUCAGACGGCUCUUUGACAAUUGGGUCAGGAAGCCAAGUGUAGCUUGCUGUGUCCUCAUGACUACAUAAUUUUUGGGCUUCACCGUCUCUCCCAACAGAGUUGGUGGUUUUUCUUUACCACAAAAUUCCAGAUAUUCUUGUGUUUUACUUGGCACACUCUAUCACAGUAAACAGAAAGAUAUCACACUAGGAAAAAUCAUGCUUUUAUAAUAUAAUAUUUUACACUUACAUUUUAUACUGUAAUACUAUUAUUAUUGCUAUUGUUAUGAACUCGUCCCUCUGCCUGACAUGCUCACCCUCUGAUGGGGUUGGGGAACACUUCUCCAGUCAGGGAACACCAGUUGACCCUCAUCCCACACCCUUCUAGUUUCCAGCUGCAAAAACAGAAUAACUAAUGACACUAUCACUACCUGCUGUUUGUGUUACGUUUUUGUUCUGAGCAGUUCAAAGUAUUCCAUGGGCCCAACAGUAGGUUUAGAAGAAGUGGGACAUAUAUCCCAAGUGAGGCAUUUUGUCUAGGGCUUCUGGUUGGGUUUCUAAGUGCAAGUGCUAGCAUUUAAGUUAAAAAAAAAAUUCUCUCCCCAAGUGUUUUCCCAGAUAAUUCUGCACAUGUGUGAAUGUUCAAAAUAAAUCUGUACUUGGUGGUCCUUAAAAACAAGGACCAGAUUCAAAUCUUGAGUAACUGACUCACCUGCAUUUAUUAAAAAGAAAAAAAGAACCAACCAAAUCUUCCUUCCAACCACCCUGCCAGCCGCCCUUCCCCAACCCCGCCCACCCAGCCAAUGGAUCUACUAUCAUAGGCAGCUGAGGGGUCACUGAUGAAAGAGACAACACAUACACAUCCAGGAACACAAAGAGGAUUUGUGAACAAGAGGAGCAAUAACAAAUCCAGACAAUGAACACUUUCCUAAACAGCACAAUCUUCUUGAAAUAGGAGAGUGAUUCCAUCUAAUGCAAUGAUGAUGAUGUGGACCAGACCGAUAGGGAGACUGCAGGACCAGCCAGCAAUAAUCCAAAUACUCAAUGUACUGACCAUUCGGCAAAAAAAUCCAAGAGAAAGCCAAUCUCCUUGCAUUUUUUCUUAUAAAGAAAUUUGUCAAACAGAAAUGGGAACCAAUAGCCAGGAGAGUAAUGCCAUUAUACAGGUGCUAAGUCCAUCAGCGAUUACAGGAAAGGAUUCACUGUGAGCUCGAGCAACAACAAUGCAGCAAGAAGUGCUUCAGGCCGGCUGAGAGUGGCAGAAACACUACACGGACUGCGGCCAAGGCCUGCCGGUG